rnacentral:rRNA from 1 species
GAUGAACGCUAGCGGCAGGCUUAAUACAUGCAAGUCGUGGGGCAGCAUGAGUAGCAAUACUUGAUGGCGACCGGCAAACGGGUGAGGAACACGUACACAACCUUCCUUCAAGCGGGGAAUAGCCCAGAGAAAUUUGGAUUAAUACCCCAUAAUAUAUUUGGUAAGGCAUCUUAUUAAUAUUAAAGCUUCGGCACUUGAUGAUGGGUGUGCGGCUGAUUAGAUAGUUGGCGGGUAACGGCCCACCAAGUCUACGAUCAGUAGCUGAUGUGAGAGCAUGAUCAGCCACACGGGCACUGAGACACGGGCCCGACUCCUACGGGAGGCAGCAGUAAGGAAUAUUGGACAAUGGACGAAAGUCUGAUCCAGCCAUGCCGCGUGAAGGAUUAAGGUCCUCUGGAUUGUAAACUUCUUUAUAUGGGACGAAAAAGGGCAUUCUUGUUCACUUGACGGUACCAUAUGAAUAAGCACCGGCUAACUCCGUGCCAGCA